UUAGUAUGUUGGCUACGGCGCCCUCACCGGCGCCGGACCUUCCACCACUGUGUACCGAACCCCAUCGUUGCCUCGGCGGGACGGGUGCAGCCGGACGCUGCGGCGCCCGGCCGCCGCCCCCCCGCCGCCAGGCCCCUCCAAGAAACCUUUUCGCUGAGAUGGCAUCGUCUGACUGUAACAGUUCAAAUAUGAAAAAUACAACUUUCAACAAUGGAUCUCUUGGCUCCGGCAUCGAUGAAGAACGCAGCGAAAUGCGAUAGCUAGUGUGAAUUGCAGAUUUUAGUGAAUCAUCGAGUUUUUGAACGCACAUUGCGCCUCUUGGUAUUCCUCGAGGCAUGCCUGUUCGAGCGUCGUUACGCCCCUCAAGCGCGAGCUUGGUGUUGGGGAUCGCCCCGGAGACGGCGGCGGCCCUUGAAUCCAUCGGCGGUGCUGGUGGCAGCCCGGAGCGCAGCAGACAUGCGGCUUCCAGGCGCCCCGGCGCCCGCCGGAAAACGACGAAGACCUUCUUCCAAACGUCG
rnacentral:misc_RNA from 1 species